AAUGCAGAACCAUCUCUCCAGUGUGUAAUUUAAAAAUGAGAUUGAAAUAUAAAAAAAUGGGUCAACGAAUUCAUCUCAUCGAAAAAAGUGUCAUUCUUCAACUGAGGAAUCCAUUUGUUGCCUGAAAAAUGGUCCAAAAUUGUAACAAACGAGGGACAAUAUUUUGACUAAACAAACAUAUACCUAAACAACGGAUACCAACACACCAAUCUGCCGUUAUAUUUAAGGUGCUUCGCGGAGAAACACAGUAAGUCUUUGUAUAUUUGAUUCAGGCCGUAAUCGAUUUUAGAAGGAAUAUGGGAAGUUGCUUGAUGUUCUUCUAUUAUUGGAUUUAUCUUCAUAGUACCUAUACGCUCCGUGGCUUCUCUUAUACCGUAAGGCCUGACCGCCAAAGUGGAUAUGAAAAAUCUGCUACCACAACGUCGAUGUAA